CAGCCGCCGCGGGAAAACCAGCACCUCGAGUGGUCAGGAGGUUUAUUGGGCCUAAAGCAUCCGUAGCCGGUUGCAUAAGUUUUCGGUUAAAUCUAUGCGCUUAACGUAUAGGCCGCCGAAAAUGCUGUGCAGCUAGGGAGUGGGAGAGGUACGCGGUACUCGAUAGGAAGGGGUAAAAUCCUUUGAUCUAUUGAUGACCACCUGUGGCGAAGGCGGUGUACCAGAACACGUUCGACGGUGAGGGAUGAAAGCUGGGGGAGCAAACCGGAUUAGAUACCCGCGUAGUCCCUGUCUCUUAUAC
rnacentral:rRNA from 1 species